AGAGCUGUAGCUCAGUAGCAGAGCAUCUACUAUGCAGGCAGAAAGUCCCAGGUUCAAUCCUUGGCAUCUCAA